rnacentral:rRNA from 1 species
CUGGGCGUAAAGCGCGCGCAGGCGGCUAUUUAAGUUGGAUGUGAAAGCCUACGGCUCAACCGUAGAACUGCAUCCAAAACUAUUUAGCUAGAGUGUGGGAGAGGAAGAUGGAAUUAGUUGUGUAGGGGUAAAAUCCGUAGAGAUAACUAGGAAUACCAAAAGCGAAGGCAAUCUUCUGGAACACUACUGACGCUGAGGCGCGAAGGCGUGGGGAGCAAACAGGAUUAGAUACCCUGGUAGUCCACGCAGUAAACGAUGAAUGUUAGUCGUCGGGUAGCUAGUCUAUUCGGUGAUGCAGCUAACGCAUUAAACAUUCCGCCUGGGGAGUACGGUCGCAAGAUUAAAACUCAAAGGAAUAGACGGGGACCCGCACAAGUGAUGGAGCAUGUGGUUUAAUUCGAAGAUACGCGAAGAACCUUACCUAGCCUUGACAUAUUUUAGAACACCCUAGAGAUAGAGUGGUGCCUUCGGGAGCUAAUUUACAGGUGCUGCACGGCUGUCGUCAGCUCGUGUCGUGAGAUGUUGGGUUAAGUCCCGCAACGAGCGCAACCCUCGUCACUAGUUACUAACGGUUCGGCCGAGGACUCUAGUGAGACUGCCUUCGUAAGGAGGAGGAAGGUGAGGACGACGUCAAGUCAUCAUGGCCCUUACGGCUAGGGCAACACACGUGCUACAAUGGCCAGGACAAUGAGACGCGAUACCGCGAGGUGGAGCAAAUCUAUAAACCUGGUCUCAGUUCGGAUUGUAGUCUGCAACUCGACUACAUGAAGCUGGAAUCACUAGUAAUCGUAGAUCAGCUAUGCUAC